UGACUAUGAAUUUGAGCCAAAGGUAAGUUAACUUGAUAACAAAUAAAAUUUUAACAAUUAAACCUUGUGUUAAUGUCACAGAAUCCCUUAUAUUAGGGUUUCUGCUACCGGGAAUUUAUAAAUAAAGGGAGAGAAAAGACUAGAAGAUAGAGAGAAAAAUGAAUAUUCUUUUUCAAUCUCAACUGAUGCCCAAUUAUACUGGUGCAUUUCCUAUUUAUAGUGCAAUCCUAUAGCUGUUCUAGUUACUCCCUUACUGCUUCAACUUCCUACAGUUACAUCAGCUCACAAUCGACUCACAUUCCCUCUAAGAACUAUCCUCUCUCGACUCCACCAUCUAUUCAUUUCUUCUAGCUCAUGGA
rnacentral:misc_RNA from 1 species